GCAUCUUAAUCAGUAAGAGUCACCUUAGCAGCUAGUGGCCUUUAGACCAACGCUGUUAUACCGCUGUGUGGUGAGCGAUAAGUUAGUUACGUCACUGGCUGUAACCUCGGCAAGUUCUGCUACUUUAAACAGGCCAAUGAGGCUAUAAAAUGUCUGUUGCAAGUCAACACUCUUCUUAACCUGCACUACAUGGCUUGUACUUGAAGGUGUGAAACCUGGUUCAGAAAAUAAACCUGCCAUGGUAUUUUAUCCCACAAUUGAGAUUCCCUUGUUGUGUUUUGGUAUUACUCUGUGGAUUCUUUGUUGCCAUUUUGCAAAGAAACACAGAGAAGCAGAAGGCUGGCCCCUGAUGCCCACUAACUCUCCAUCUGUAUAUGUCAUCCCCAUAUAUGAGGAUGAGCGGGAGGACAUAAUGGACAUUCAUGAAGCAGAGUUUCAACCUCCUCACAGAGACCCUCCCAUGUACUGCUCAAGAAAUGUCGGCCCACCUCCUCCAUACAGGUUUGAACCACCAUCCUAUCCAGAACAACCACCAUCAUACACAGACCCUCCAGCUUACUCAGAGAAUCCCUGAUCUUUCUCCACUUCAAAAACCCCGGCUAGCCUGAACAUACUGUACUUUUUCUCACAGGGAAGGUCUAUGUCAGGGGUGUCAAACUCUGGCCCGCGGGCCAAAUUUGGCGCGCGAGACAAUACCAAAUGACUAC